GCACUGCUGAGGAGUCCAACAAAAGGACGAAACGGAUGUCCAGUGC
rfam:Schistosoma mattheei strain Denwood, Zambia genome assembly, scaffold: SMTD_scaffold0000106